GUAGGUGAACCUGCGGAAGGAUCAUUCAUAGUAAGUGUUUUAUGGCACUUUUUAAAUCCAUAUCCACCUUGUGUGCAAUGUCAGGGUUGGUUUCUCUCUUUUGAGAGAGAUCAACCCCAAACAUCAACUCUAUCCUAACUCUUUGUCUGAAAAAUAUUAUGAAUAAAACAAUUCAAAAUACAACUUUCAACAACGGAUCUCUUGGCUCUC
rnacentral:misc_RNA from 1 species